rnacentral:rRNA from 1 species
UACAGAGGGGCAAGCGUUGUCCGGAUUUACUGGGCGUACAGCGCGCGCAGGCGGUUGCGUGAUGUGAGCGGUGACAUCCGCGGGCUCAACCCGCGGCGGCCCGCUUACACAGCGCGACUGGAGGCAGGGAGAGGGAUGUGGAAUACCCGGUGGAGCGGUGAAAUGCGUAGAGAUCGGGUGGAACACCAGCGGCGAAGGCGGCAUCCUGGCCCUGUACUGACGCUGAGGCGCGAUAGCGUGGGGAGCAAACGGG